GGAUUUACAUAGACCACUAAGUUUAACCAGAGCCAUAAUACAGAGAAGAUUAGCAUGGCCCCAGCGCAAGGAUGACACGCAAAUUCGUGAAGCGUUAAAAUUUUAA